rnacentral:rRNA from 1 species
UACGUAGGGGGCAAGCGUUGUCCGGAUUUAUUGGGCGUAAAGAGCGUGUAGGCGGCCAGACAGGUCUGCUGUGAAAACUCGAGGCUCAACCUCGAGAUGUCGGCGGAAACCUUCUGGCUAGAGUCCGGAAGAGGAGAGUGGAAUUCCUGGUGUAGCAGUGAAAUGCGUAGAUAUGCGGAGGAACACCGAUGGCGAAGGCAAUCCCCUGGGCCUGCACUGACGCUCAUGCACGAAAGCGUGGGGAGCAAACAGG